UACGGAGGGUGCAAGCGUUAUCCGGAUUCACUGGGUUUAAAGGGUGCGUAGGUGGGCUGGUAAGUCAGUGGUGAAAUCUCCAGGCUUAACUUGGAAACUGCCAUUGAUACUAUCAGUCUUGAAUACCGUGGAGGUGAGCGGAAUAUGUCAUGUAGCGGUGAAAUGCUUAGAUAUGACAUAGAACACCAAUUGCGAAGGCAGCUCACUACACGAAUAUUGACACUGAGGCACGAAAGCGUGGGGAUCAAACAGG
rnacentral:rRNA from 1 species